UACGUAGGGGGCUAGCGUUGUCCGGGUUUAUUGGGCGUAAAGAGCGUGUAGGCGGCCAGGUAGGUCUGCUGUGAAAACUCGAGGCUCAACCUCGAGACGUCGGCGGAAACCAUCUGGCUAGAGUCCGGAAGAGGAGAGUGGAAUUCCCGGUGUAGCGGUGAAAUGCGCAGAUAUCGGGAGGAACACCUAUGGCGAAGGCAGCUCGCUGGGACGUUACUGACGCUGAGACGCGAAAGCGUGGGGAGCAAACAGG
rnacentral:rRNA from 1 species